rnacentral:rRNA from 1 species
ACAACGCUGGCGGCAGGCUAACACACUGCAGUCGAACGGGAUCUUCGGAUCUAGUGGCGGACGGGUUAGUAACGCGUGGGAACGUACCCUUUUCUACGGAAUAGCCUCGGGAAACUGAGAGUAAUACCGUAUACGCCCUUCGGGGGAAAGAUUUAUCGGAGAAGGAUCGGCCCGCGUAAGAUUAGAUAGUUGGUGGGGUAAUGGCCUACCAAGUCUACGAUCUUUAGCUGGUUUGAGAGGAUGAUCAGCAACACUGGGACUGAGACACGGCCCAGACUCCUACGGGAGGCAGCAGUGGGGAAUCUUAGACAAUGGGGGAAACCCUGAUCUAGCCAUGCCGCGUGAGUGACGAAGGCCUUAGAGGUCGUAAAGCUCUUUCGCUGGGGAAGAUAAUGACUGUACCCAGUAAAGAAACCCCGGCUAACUCCGUGCCAGCAGACCGCAGGUAAUACGAGAGGGGGUUAGCGUAGUUACGGAAUUACUGGGCGUAAAAGCGCGCGUAGGCGGACUGGAAAAGUUCGGGGGUGAAAUCCCAGG